UCAAUUUAGUUUCUCCCACCUAGUUCUGUUCUGCCCUAUCACAGGUCAAAACAGUUUCUUUAUUAACCAAUGGUAAUAAAAUAUAUUCACAGUUUACAGAGGGGAGUCCCACAUCAAAAGUGGAUACAGCGAGGUAUGCAAAACAGGAAAAAAUUUUGAUGAUGGUCAUAAAACCAGCUGAGAGUAAACAGGAAUAUGAAGAAAGGAAGAUAUUUGCCUAAGUCAUUUCUGAAAUGCACAGUAGAGACUGGGAGAGACAGAUUAAAGACUAGAAAAGGCAUGCAUACAGAAUGAAGGGUUUUGUUUAUCAAGAUCACCAGAGGCUUUAGGAGUUAAUGGGAUAGAAUUAGUAGGAAAACAGAAAGUUGUGGGUCACCUAGUUCUGGAGGACACGACACUAAAGACAUUCAAGACAGAACACUGCAGAAAGACUGUGGGUACCACUGUUUCUAGAUUAUAAAACCGGGUACUGUCCUAUCAUGAUCUGAGGGUUAGCUGGAAGUACCAGAAAUACUUGAUCAUCUCAGUUCUCCAUGAAGUGUAAAUUCAAACCACCCACCAGGAUUUAUUGGGCUGUAAAGUAAACAAUGAAAGAAAGUGACAGUAGUUUCUGAUAGUUCAUAAAAAGGCUCAGAAGACUUUGUCUGAAAAUAAGCUAAUGAUCGAGAUAAGUAUGUAUGGGGAAAGAGAAGAAGUUACCAAUCUGUGCUUUUCUUGAAUCGGUCAACAGAACUGACAUGAUUGAUUCCAAACAGUAAUUAGGUUGUUUGGGGAGCAUGUGACCUUGAGGGUUGAAUUUAAGAAAGCAAGUUAGAAGUUCAGGGUUGGAGAAUAUUGUGUUCCCAGGUGUUAACAUUAGAGAUCCCUAAACACAAAAUCUCAUUCCAUUAUUUGACGCUUUCUUGAAGUAAAUUCAUUGUCUUAUUUGGUUAUUAGAGUAGCAGAACAUGUAAUCUUCUCUGUAAAGCAGACUUCAUUUUUGUGUUCAUUCUGUUUUAGUGUAUUUGCUCACAUAAUAGGGUAGAGCCUUAAAAGAAAUCAAAUAAUAUGUAGGGUUAUACAUUCAAAUACUAAAAUAUACAUUGAUAUACCAUCCCAACUUGAUGAAUUAUUACAUAGCCAAAUGGGAAAUAUUUGCUUGGGGAAUACUAAUGUUCAGAGCAGUUAGGAGAGAAGCUGUGCACUGGUCUUACUGUACAGAGAGUUGGCCACUAAGUUUUACAGUAAAUAAGCCUACCAUCCAGGGAUAAUUCGAAAUCCAGACUGCAUAGAUAAAAUGUUUGCCAGUCAUUUUCUCUGCCAGCAGAAAGGUGACCUGAAACCGUUUAUCUAAGGUACUAACUGCAUAGGUUAGGGCUAGGGAGUUUAUCCCCACCUAUAUAUUUUUUUGGCAUGGAAAUCAUAAAAAUAGGAAGAAAGCCAUAAAGAACCACAUAAAUUAUAAACAGUUCUAAAAGUACAAGUCAUACUAGUAUGAAGGAAACAUCUAGAAAUGGCACCUGAGCAGUCGCCUCCUUCUUGUGGCAGGGAGAUGCAGCCUGGAUUCUGAGAGAGAAGCCUGAAGAGCUGGGCUGACAGGGUGAGCCUUCAGCCUUAAUCUGAGGAGCCAGGUUCCAAGUCUUGUUUUUGCCUCUACAUUUAGUAUUUUUCUGUUUUGUUUAAGAGAAAGAGGAUAUUUAACAGUAUUACAUCAUAUGUCCUUUAAAUUUUAAAAACAGUUUUGUUAUCAUUUUCUAAAUAAAAUGGAAAGCUCAUUCCAAGCAAUGUUGUAAUGGAAGUCACAGACAGUAUACGGAGACUGGCAGAAACUUACAGGCAAACCUAGGUCAUUAGAGAAGACACAGGCUGGAAAAUGAGAGAGGAGACAAAACUAGCAUUUUACUACCCAAGAAAAUGAUACACCCUGUGUAGUGGUCAGUGGUGUAGAUGCUUCUUAGUGAUUAGAAAACCUUGAGCCUUGAAUAAUACAGCUUUUAUAGAAUAUACUAAACUACAGUACUAGAGAAUUAAGGAGAGAAAUUCUAAAAUGAAGGAAAUUCCCUAUCUUUAUAUAGCUUUGAAGUACUCUUAAUAAUUGUUUGUAAAUCUAAUAUUUAAUACAGACUCAUACUAAAAGACACUUAGAAGCUCACUAUUUAAUCAGUUCUUACCGAGGUUUUUUGCAAAAAUGAAUGUAUUCUUAACUCUCUCUCUGUCUAUCUCUCUGUCUAUCUCUCUGUCUCUGUGUGUGUGUGUGCAUGUAUGUGUGUGUGCAUGUGUGUGUGUGUGUUGGUCUUAGCUGUCAACUUGAUGCAAUCUGGAAUCACCAGGAGAGAGUCUUAAUGAGAGGUUCCAGGAAAGUGAGUAUAGAGAAAGACCUGCACAGAUUUAAUGUUGGAAUUAUCAACAACACUAUAGAGUGGCUAACUAGAGGGAAAGAGUUAAGCUUAAAAUACCAGCAGGCACCAAGCUAAAAAUGAAUAAAUAAAUCCCUAUCAGAUUUUCAAAUGAGCCUAAUAAAAUAUUUAGAGAUAAAUAUAACAGAAGUGACAGAAAUUAAACUCAGGGUAGAAAUCCUAAGAUGAAAGCAACAUUGAGUAAGUUGUAAAGAAGAAAAAAAUAACAGGAUAUCCGAGGAACUGGAUUAAAUCUACAUCAGGCAGUCAGAAUCAGCAUCACUGAGGAGCACAUGUGCUUUGCACACCUCAUGAAAUGACGGCCUGAUGGCACUGGGUAACAUGAAUCAGUGGAUUAUUUCAGACCCAGCCACACUGAAGGGCAAACAGCAGGAAUUAGCCCUGGGCUUCAGAAGGCUGGUGUCAUAAAAGGCAAGAGGAAAAAUUGUUACAAAAGUAAGGACAUAAAGGGGAUAUGCUUAAGUGGACAGGUGGAAAAUACACAGAAUAAAACAUGUCCUAUAAAUGAUAAAUUUUCUGGGUUUGAUGCCUGUACUAUAAUUAAAGCACUUGGAAGAUAGAGGCAGGCAGAUCUCUGUGAGUUUGUGACCAGGCUGGUCUAGAUAGUGAUUUCCAGGACAGCCAAGGAAUAAGACCCUGUCUCAGAAAAACAAAAACAAAUAAUCAACAACACCAAAGCUGAAAUACUAGACAAGCAAGUCUAAUAUUUCUUAUUAAGGAAAACAAGAAAAGCCAGUCUAAAUCCUAAAGGGCUGCUGUUUUAAAGAAUGUCCCAAGGAUAGACCAAGAUUGGAACUACAAAACUUAGCAUUUCUGAGUAUCAUUUUGGGUUUAAUUACUCACUGUUGUUUUUUAAUCUAAUUUCACAUUAUUUAUUUAGGUCUUGACAUUUAAAUAUACACUUAUUCUCUUUCUUGAAUUCUUAAGUUUAAAUAGUAUACCCAGCAGUUUAACACAGUGUAUUUUGUCCCACAAAAUAACAGGCUUUAAUGAGUAUACAUGUUGGUGAGUACCUGAACAUGCCCUGAGCAAUUCAAAUAAAAGGAUUAAUUCCUUGUGAAAAUAAGUUAAAUCUUUCUCAUUUGCUCUUAAUUUUUAAAUCUUUAGUGAAAUAUUUUGUCUUAUAGUUCUUUUUCUGGUAUGUAUUUUUAUUUAGGUUUUUGAAAAAUUCAUACAGAAAAAUUUUUAUAUAUCAUCUAUUCCCUUUUUUCCUUCCAGCUCCUUUUGUGUCCCUCACACUGCCUCUCAAAUCUAUUUCUUCCUUAAUUAUUGUUACAUAUAUAUGUGUAUAUGCAUACAUACACACAAACACAUGUAAAUCUACAAUCUACUAGGUUUAUUUAGUGUUGCUUGUAUGUACAUGUCUUAGGGCUGACUGCUUGGGAUUGGGUAACCUGUCGGAGCUCAUCCCUGGAAAAGACUGUCUCUCCCUUUCUCAGCAGCCACUGAUUGCCCAUAGCUCUUCAUCUAGGGGUGAAACUUCCCCCAGCUUUGCUGUCAUAGCAGUCCAAGUUGCCUUAUUAUGCAGGUCUUAUUUAGACAGCCGUAUUGCUGAGAUUUCAUAUGUGCAGUUUGCCUGUCGUGUCUAGAGGACACUAUCUAGCAGCAGGUAUCUUGGCUAUCUGGCGUUUAGAUCUUUAUUCCUCCUCCCCCACAGUUUUCCCUCAGGAGUAAGGGUUGCUUUAUAGAUGUUCCAGGUGGGGCUAGCUGCUCCAUGGCUACUUACUCUCUGAAUUUUCACAAGUUGAGGAAUGAGAGCUACCCUUACCUGCCAGUGUAAGGAUAAGUAUUUAGAAUACAGUAGGAAAUUUUACUGGUUAAGGAAAGGUGACAGUAGUAUUUUUUUCUCUGAUGUCUAUGACUUCUCCAGCCACCAGUAGCUGUUAAGGUCACAGUACCAGGGACGAAUUUUCUCUUACUGAGCAGGCCUUAAGUCUAGCUAGAUAGGUACUGGUUACCCAUAUAAUAAAGGGGCCACUAUUGCAACUUAAGAAUAUAUUGCCAGUCCAGCCGUUGUUUACAGCUGCUGUUUACAGGUAGGACUUGCUUACUUUCUCCCCAUGGCAGCCUGCAGAGUAACUUCUGAUACCGUGAGUCCUCUAGGAAGCGGCUUCCAAGGUCAGCUCCAGUUCGAUUCUCCAAGUCCUGUGUCCAAAGUGAUAUCUUCAGCAACAGGGUCUUACCUACAAAUUCAGGGAAAUUUCCCAUGCCUUGCCCUGGGGCUUUUACUAGAUCAUGGAUAUUGGUGAGAUUAUGCCCCAUGUGGCAUUCCUCCAUUUAAACUAUAUCUCUGUCUGUCUCUCUGUCUGCCUGUACACACACACAUAAACACACACACACACACACACACACACACACACACACACUCACUCACUCACAAGUAAUACAUGUAUUUUUAUGUAAGCUUCUAACUUAACAGCCUUCUCUAUGGUCUUUUCAAACCUCCUUGCCUUCAAACAUCUCUUUCCUUUUUCCAUCUCUUUCUGUUUACCAUGAAAUGACCUUUGUCUUAUUUAUAGACAUAUGCAGUGAUGUAAAAUGAAUCAUUCUUAGACCCAGAUUGCAGGAAUUGCACCUUUCACAGAUGUGCUGAGAAGUUUAGAUCUGCAUAGAACAUAUUUAAAAUUUCAGAGAUUAAACAUCUUCUCUGCAUAGUUCUUGAAAACACUGAAGACUUUUUAAAUUUUUCAGUGACUCAAAUUUAAAUACAGACAUGGUGUUUCAUAUUUGGUAAUAAUAAUCCAACUUUAAUAAACAUUUUAAUACUUUACAAAUUUAUCACAUAUUUUUGUAAUAAAACCAUUCUUAUAUUUUCUAAUACAAAACUUUUAUUUUGAAAGUUCUGAGUAGUAACAGGUAAGUUUUUUGUUUGUGUUCCUUUUCCUUUAUUAUGUGUAUGGAUGUUUUGCCUACAUGUAUGUCUAUGUACCACGUAUGUGCCUUGUGCCUGCAGAGGUCAGAAGAGAGCAUUGGGUUGCCUAGAACUGACAUUACAGAUGUUUUGAGCUGCUAUAUAGGUGCUGGGAAUUGAACCCCAAUCCUCUGCAAAGGAAGCCAGUGCUCCUACUGCCAAACCAUCUCUCCAGCCCCCUGAGAUUCCUUUUCUAAUCAAAGUAGUUCAUGAUAGUUUAAGUAAUGCAAGAUUGCUUCACUAUGCUGUGUUAAAUAAUUCUUGCUACAACACAUCAUGUUUCUCUUCUUGUUCUAGGAGAUACUAUUCCCACCUUAAACAAGUGAAAUAGCUUGUUUGUCAAGAUUAAUUGUACAGUAGGACUUAGUUCAAGACUUUUCCCGUCUAGUACUAUUUGGUCAGAAGCUUACAGCAAUGCUACCAGUUUUCCAUCUUGAAAGACCGUGAAUGAAAUGAUCUCGCCUACCUCAACCUCUAAAACUUUGUCUUCUUUCAUUUUUUAAAUUUUCUUGUUCCCUUGUUUUGCAGUCACUCUAAUAAAUUCAAGCUUCACUUGACUAGUAAGGAUUUUUAGAGGUGCUUGGAAUUUGACUGUUAACAGUGUAUAAAAGCUAAACAUGCUAAGUAAUUAAAGGGGCAAAAUCAAAGUCUCAGGUUUCUGUUCUUAGUUUGUAAUUGGCUCCUAGCCUAUGGGCAUACUCAUUCUGUCAUCCUCAGAGAGCUUCACCUCAAACCUAGGACUGAACCCCUUCCCUGCUUUCUUCCACUUACCUGCUCUGUGCUGUUCCCUGGUCAUGGGUUGGCAGAGUGGUCUUACUCCUCGUCUGUCCACUAAGCUACUUACAUCUGAAGGAAGUCUUAGUGGUGUUCAUAUUUUACUUCUUUUCCAAUAACGAGUUUCCAGGUUCCAUCAGCGUUAGCUAAGAAACAUCACAGCAGCAAAAACAACUGCAGCUUUCUCCAUCAGGAGAGCGCUUAAAACAACAGGACAUGCAAUGCAGAACUGUGGUUUACAUGCCUUCACAUAGAAUACAAGCACCAUGUAAUGGUAGGUGGAAGAGUACAGACAUAUUUAAAAACAUGUCUUGUCAGUACUUUUACACAUAAGCAAAGUAAGAAAUUCUAGUUUUACCUCAUCUGGAGUUGAAUAUUUACUUUGUACCUCUAAAGCCAAAUACCUGCUGUUACUUAAAAUUAAAGGAAAAGGAAACACUAGUGAGCAUUUUUAAGGGUAAAAUCAGUGAAACACUUGCCAGAUAGGAGUUAUUUUAGGAAAGAAUGCUCUUUUGCAUUUAUUGAAAAGUGGACAGCAGAAAACAAUAUCUGAAGUCUGUAUUAUUAAAUUUCUUUUACUGUCUUUUCACCAAACAUUAAAUACUUAGGCAUUCUUGAAUAUCUAAAGUUUCAGGGAAUUUUAUUUUGAAAUCUCAGCACCUAAGCAAUACUGCUUAGGCAAUGUCAUUGUCUUGUUGAUUUGUGUGAUUUAAAAAUUAAAAAAAUAAAAUCUUUUAAGAUUUUAAACAUUUGCAUACCUACUUCUUUUAAAAGCAAAUGUAAUUCGAAAAGUUGCUACACUAGUUGAUACUUGGCAUUUGCUAUUAACGGUUAUUUUAAACAAUGUCCAUUUAAUAGGGCUUUGUAGAGUUUGUAGGUUUCUCUAGAACCUAAAAGCUUUGGCAGAAAUGCUGUAGUGAUGCUUUGUUAUGGCAGAUUCAGUAAUGUCUCCAUGUGCUCUUUGCCCAGAGUAGUUCACCAAUAUAAUGUGAGAUGAGAAUGGGAGAGACGCCUUCUGCUCUGAUUUGAAGGCCAGGUUUGAAUGUGAACUAUCAGAUUAACCCUUCCUGCCCCAUAGUAAGCAGAGAUAACACAUUUUAGCUUCUUGAACUUUUAUAGCAAGAUGAUCCUCUUCAGGAAAUUUAAAAUCACCCAGUCCUUUGGACUCAAGGAUAUAAGGCAUUGUUUUGUUGUUCUUGUUGCUUUGUAAAGGAUAUGUGGUCCUUUUGUCCUAUAGUCUACAUAUUUAGAGGUGGUGAUUAGAGUAUUAAAUAAAAUAGUCAGGUUUAGUCUAUCAGGUGAAAAUAAGUCAACCCCAAUGGACUUGUGAUAAUUUACUUGAAGGAUACAACAGUAAAUAAUGUGUGUGAUGCAACUAGAGAGUGUGUGUGGAAGACAGCAUCAUUUCAUCUUCAGGAUGCUGAGCACUACAAUCUUAAGUGGUUUACUUUUGAGUGUCCCACAUGGUAAUUUAGUUCUGGUCAUUUAGCAUUCCUGUGCAUUUUCAUUUAACAGAUACAUGAUGUUACCACUCAGUCUUGUCAGUGCUGGGUCUCAUAGUGAACAGUUGGUCUUCUUGUCCCAGCCAGCUCCCUAUAAAUAGAAUGUGGGACCAAGUAUAUAAGUAAAUAGAGUGUGAGAAUCGUGGAGACCAGUGCUGGUCCUCAGGAGGGAUGGAUCAGAUGUUAGGUAUGAUGCGAAGGAAUUGUUACUGAUAAGAUAACAUUCAAAAGCACGUUGAGAUGAGGAAUGAGCAAAGCUAGCUGGGGAAGAGCAUUCUAAGAUAGGAACAGCAAACAGAUAGUUUUAAGGUCUUCACCUUUUAUAUUCAAAGGAAAAUAUUUAGAAAAUUGUGGUCAGAAUGGUAGAAUGUGACUUGUGUUCAUUCAGAAGGGAUCACUAACUGCUGUGAUUCAGAUAGACAGAACCUGGCAGACUUUCUGCAAAGGGCCAAGAGUUCUUUUAGGUUUUGUGGCUUUGCCUUUGUGUCCUCAGAGCAAACCCACGUAGAGUGAUGUCUAGCUGUGUUCCAUAAACACAGAAACAGGUAGAGACCCUGACUGCCUGUGUGCCAUAGUCUAGUCCUUAUUAGACUCCUGAAUAGCUGAUGAGCCAGGAACAAAGGCGAGUUAACAGGUUGCUUGCAGUACUCCAAGGAAGCACUUAAUGGUCCUAGUGACAGUGUUAACAAGUGGUCAGAGUCUAGGUAUAUUUUAAAUGUAGAGGCAGUGGGCUUUGCUGAGGAGUCUAGAUGAUGACAGAUGAGAAAGCCCUAGGGGUGAUGCACAUUUAAGUGUGCUUUUGUUGUUGCUAAUGGGGGGGGUGUGGUACUUUAAUUUUUUUUUUUUUUGUUUUACAGAGCCUUGCUACAUAGCCCAGAGUGGCCUUAGAUUCUCUGUGUGACCCAGGCUGGCCUGCCUCAAACUCACAGUCAUCUUGCUUCCGCCUCUAGAAUAAUGAGGUUGUAAGAGUAGCCACUGUUAGCCUAAGUCUUAAUUAGAACGUAUUUGCUGUAAGUUUUGCAUUGUUUUUGAUAGUAUGUAAAAUAUGCUCAUUAACAACCUAUUUGGACUUACUGAAGCUAUUGCUGAGCCUGAUCGACUUGUAGUUUAGGGGUCUUCCUUUAUAGAUAAAGAAUUAAUAGUGUGACUUAUUAUUAUACUUAAUAUAAUGCAAUCUUAUUAUAACUAAUUGUGUAACAUAUUAGCUUCUCAGAGCCGCAGUUGGGUAUUACAAAAUAACUCAUUAGGUUAUUCUCAUGACCAGAAGUUUUUGUGUCUUUUUAAUAUAGUAUUUAUUGCCUUAUAGAUAAGAAAGAAAGCAAAAGAAAGCUAUUGGCCUGUUUGCUAUCUGUGAGCAGCUCUAAUGAGACCCUAUGUUUAUGUGAAUGUAGUAGGCUAAGUUUUAUAUGACCAACUGGUGAUAAAAAUGAAAUUGGUAACAUUCUUUCUUAGAGGAGCAAUGCAUGUAUUUUGGCACCUUGGAAAGGUUUCAGACAACUGCUCCAUCCUCCACCCGAGUAGCAUAGGCUGUCCUCACAUUCUCCAUGUGGCAGACCCUCCUGCCUUCACUCCCCAGUUCUUAAAUAUAAUCAGCUCCCAAUACAAAUUAUAUUCUAAAAAUUCUAUUAUUAAAAUGCUCACUAUAACACUUCACUCUUCUGUAUAGAAUACCUGACGUUCUAUUUUUAUUAACCUGGUGUGAUUCAUAUAUCCUUAAAAUGUAAUAAAACUAUUUCCUUCAGAUUUUCCAUCCUCUUCAGAUCAGCGUUCACCUCCCCCCCCCCCCCCCCCCCACACACACACCUAGUUCUUCCAGUGAGUUUUAACAAAAUGUUGAUUUAGCUGUGUGGCAUUUGUUCAACUUUAAGUUAAUUAGUACGACUCUGCUUUUUAUUGCUUAUUUUCUUUUUUUGUUUUCCUACCAUCUCACUCACCUGGUUUUAUAUUGUCUUUCAAGUCAUUUUAGUUGUGUGUGUUUCUUGUGUGCUGUAAAGAUACCUGAAGAUAGCACAGUGGUGUAACCAGGAUUUCCUACCCCACCACACUCCACCCUGCUCAGCAUCCCCAUUGCUGGGCUUUACAUGUGUGUUCAUCUCCUGCCUUCGGGGUCCUCUCCUCCCUCCCCUGCUCCAGGCUAUACUUCACAUGUGGAAUUUCCUUGUUUAAACUAUUUAGAGUGCUGAAGUUACAAAUGCACGCUGUAACCCCCACUAUACAGAGUGUGGGGCUCCAGACUCAGGUCCUCACACCUAAGCAGAUACGCUUUACCCACUGAGCCCUUGCUCCAUCCUCAAAUUGAUUUUGAAAGGUAAAGAAAGUUAAGUUGUUUUACUUUCAUUUCCUCAGAAAACUUAGAGAGCUAGAGAUGCGCUGGAUGUCUGUGAUUCACGGGAGCAGCUGGACACUGGCAGAUGGGAAACAAGGAUCUCCCUCCCUUUGUUCAGUCAGGAAUCCUCCCUUAGGAUGAAAGAUGAGCAAGGAGCUAAUUUACAAGCAUUGUUCUCAGAGUACAUGUCACGCUCUGUAAAUAACUAAAUAGAGAAGGUACAUAAGAUACCAAAUGCUAUCGCAUGCUCGUGUAUGGAUUUUUAGGGAACUUCAUCUUUUAGCAAAAAAGCCAAACUCUAACAAUAUUUUUAGUUUUAGAAAGCUUGCAUCGAAGACACACCUUUAAAGAUGGAGAGCACGUAAACAAUGCGGUUGGGAAAAUAUUUAAGAUACAGUUUUGGUGGUAGGCCAAGUAAUCCGGUCUAAGCCAGUUUCAAAUGUCACUGAGUGGAUUACUAGGCCUCUGGGGAAGAAUGAUUUGAUUUCACUUGCACUUGCUUCUGCCGGCUCAGCUGCUGCCCUGUAAUCCCUCUUCUGGCCCUGAGAUUUCUAAUUCAGUCAAGUUUUAACUCCCUAAGUGUCCUUCAGUGUGGAAAUGAAUAGAACUUCUACUUCUUUGUUUAAUAUGAAUUCGUGUUGAGAGUUUUGAGUGACAGUUUCCGGAUAGGCUUAUGCUUGUACAUAAGGCUCGUGUAAUACUUAGCCAGAGAAGAUACUCUCCUUGCUUUUCAGUGAUUUUAUAUUCCUUGUGUUUCUGUUACAAUGGCAAGGCUGUAUAAGGGGAGGAGGAUCUACUGGGGCUUAGAUUUAAGAAGAGUUGCCUUCCAUCUUGAUGGAGAAGUAUGGCAGCUGGUCACAUGUUGUCCUCAGUCAGGAAGGGGGGUUGGGGUAAAUGGAGCUCUCUCUCUCUCCUCUUUCUUCUUCUAUAGCCUGAUGCCCCCAUUCAGUUACCCCUCCUCUUCUCUCUGGAAACAAACACACAGAUACAUCCAGAGAUUGUCUCCUGGAAGAUUCCAAAUCCAGUCUAGUUGACCAUGAAGAGGGAUCAUUACAGUUUUAAACAAAACUUAAUUUUUUUUCCUAAGUUCCAGCUUAUAUUGUUCAUUUAUAAACACUCGACUUGACUAAUCUAAAGGGAUUUUACUUUCCAGCGGUAUCUCUUGUUGCGGAAGUGUUCACCUUUGAAUUUGCUUGGCCCGUUGAGGUUCAGCUCUCCAUAGAGAAAAGCAAUGAGCCUGUACAAACUAGUGAUGCCACUCACGCCAGAGGAAUCGUUCCUCACUCCUGCGGGACUCACAAAGAAUAACCCUGUGUACCGCACAGCCAUUUGCAACUCCUGAGAAUUGCCAUCAUGCUAUUUCAUUAUAUAUUUCCUGUUAUAUCAUGAAUUUCAUUAUAUUUAACAAAACGAGGAAGAAUAUUAGCUGUCA